rnacentral:rRNA from 1 species
UUUAUGGAGAGUUUGAUCCUGGCUCAGGAUGAACGCUGGCGGCGUGCCUAAUACAUGCAAGUCGAGCGAACGGACGAGAAGCUUGCUUCUCUGAUGUUAGCGGCGGACGGGUGAGUAACACGUGGAUAACCUACCUAUAAGACUGGGAUAACUUCGGGAAACCGGAGCUAAUACCGGAUAAUAUUUUGAACCGCAUGGUUCAAAAGUGAAAGACGGUCUUGCUGUCACUUAUAGAUGGAUCCGCGCUGCAUUAGCUAGUUGGUAAGGUAACGGCUUACCAAGGCAACGAUGCAUAGCCGACCUGAGAGGGUGAUCGGCCACACUGGAACUGAGACACGGUCCAGACUCCUACGGGAGGCAGCAGUAGGGAAUCUUCCGCAAUGGGCGAAAGCCUGACGGAGCAACGCCGCGUGAGUGAUGAAGGUCUUCGGAUCGUAAAACUCUGUUAUUAGGGAAGAACAUAUGUGUAAGUAACUGUGCACAUCUUGACGGUACCUAAUCAGAAAGCCACGGCUAACUACGUGCCAGCAGCCGCGGUAAUACGUAGGUGGCAAGCGUUAUCCGGAAUUAUUGGGCGUAAAGCGCGCGUAGGCGGUUUUUUAAGUCUGAUGUGAAAGCCCACGGCUCAACCGUGGAGGGUCAUUGGAAACUGGAAAACUUGAGUGCAGAAGAGGAAAGUGGAAUUCCAUGUGUAGCGGUGAAAUGCGCAGAGAUAUGGAGGAACACCAGUGGCGAAGGCGACUUUCUGGUCUGUAACUGACGCU